UGGUGUGCGUGGAAGGAAAGGGUGAGGGCACAGGGACCGGAGCAGAGCAGUGGUAACGGAGCCAGAGGAUCAGGAUGCUAGAAGAGGAGCCACCUUGCCAAGGCUUCAGGCACUGAAGACAAGGUGAAGAGAUGGCGGAGGAGGAAAUAGGCAGCUGUCUUGUGGCUUCCCAAUUUGUGUGGCGUGAGGCCUCUGCCCCUGUGACGUCACCUGUCUGGAGCCUGCGGAGCUGUUGCGUGUGUAUCUUUGCAGGUCAUGCUGUGUGUACAGUGGUCACUGUGAUACAUCACGUUUUGAUUGCCUGUGAAUAUCCAGCUCCGGGAGGCCGCAGGCAAGCCUUUGAGAGCUCGGGUAAAGCCUGUAUGCAUCUUGUGGGGGAAGAGGGAUGCAGGGAGUUUUGUGCCAUGCUGAUGGAAGAUGAAGCAACGCAAUGCUUAAAGGUGAUGCUAAUGUUUGGACCGUGAGCGGAGGCGAGGCGAGGUAGAGGUAAAGCGACCGGGAACCACAAUGAUUUAGGAGGCGGAGGAUGCAGGUGACUGCACACCGACGGUGACUUCUGGGUCACCUGGCAGGAGG